GUGAGACCUUUCCUAUAUCUCAUUGUUUGUUAAUUCCAAAUAUUAGAAUUUCUUGAUUUAUUCUACACAAUUUCCCUCCCAAGAUUGGUUUUUGUCCAAAGGCUCUAAAGAAGCCUUGGGAAUCUGAGAUAAAUUCGGUGCAGGGGUAUAGUUGGAGGAUCUUGUAGGAGAAAUCAUUGAAAUAUAGGAAUUGUAAUCUCUGUCUGGGAUUCUUUUUUAUACUGGAGUGAUAUGUUUACUGAUUGAGAAUAUACAUCCGUGUGCACUACUGCCGGCUUAACCCCUUUUUGUCAAGUAUCUUUUCACUAUGUGUCUUCCAUUGGAUUUUUUGUUCAAACAAGUUUAUCGUUUUUGGAAUAUAUGAUGGCAACUGCUAAGUUUGAAAUAAACCAAUAUGAUGGAAGGGGAGAUUUCAGUAUGUCGAGUCAAAAGAUAAGAGCUAUCUUAAUGCAAUUAAAAUGUGCUAGAGCCUUAAAUGGUUCUUUGACAAAAGAUAUGACGACCUUAAAAAAGACCGAAUUGGAAGAAAUAGCACAGAAUACUAUCUUCUUGUAUCUUUUUGAAAAUGUGAUUAAAACCAUUGGAGAAAAUAAAACUAUUGAAGAACAUUGGACCGAAUUGAAGGCUCAAUAUGAGCUUAAAAUUGUUCCUAACAAAUGUUUUUUACUAAAAUAAUUCUUUUUCUUUUUAGAUGGAUCCUUCUGUUGAUCUAGAAGAAAAUUUAAAUAGAUUUACGAAAUUGAUCCAAGACCUUGCUAACUGUGAUGAAUGUCCAAGCGAUAGAUUCAAUAAGUUCUUGUCAAUAACCAUGUCCGCUAAAUAGAAACCCAUUUUUAAGAAACUUGGA
rnacentral:lncRNA from 1 species